rnacentral:lncRNA from 1 species
AGCUCACUGCACUCCUUGCUCUUUCUUGAACAUGCCAGGCCUGUCUACCUCAGGGCCUUUGCACUUGCUGUCUCUCUGCCUGAAUGCUCUUCUUCCCAUCUCAUCUUCCCAUGACUGGCUCCUUUUAGCCAGUCAGGUCUCAGCACAAAUGUCACCUCCACAAGGGCACAAAAAGUAACUCACAAAUCACAAUGGCAGUGGCGCUAGCGGUGCAGCAGAACGAGGGCAGGUUGAGGGCGACUUGUCCCCUGUUGGCGAUUCCUUGCCUUUCGAAGGCCAUGAAGACUGCCUCCAACGCUUCACGCAGCAGUCCGUCAUCCACAUUGGAUCAUCUUUAUGCACAGAAUGGAGUAGAGGUCAAGGUUUGUGGUUUUCCAUAUGAUGUCCGGUCAUUCCAGCAUGACGUGCUGAAAAUCACUCCUUUUCCCCACUGAACUGCUAUGGUGCUUUCUGGGUAGGAAACCCUACCAGGCAAAGAACGCAAGAAGCUACUGCCUCACAGGACGGCAGGGGUACACAUUCUGUAGAUUUCAUGGCAAAUGAGAGAAGCCAGACACAAAGGAAUGUGCUGCAUUAUUCCAUUUAUGGGACGUUCCAGUGACGGGGUGAUGGUGGAUGCCUUGGGGUGGGGCUGGGCCGGGCUAGGGAUCCUUCCGGGGUGUGGAAAUGUUCUUUCUCUCCACCUGGGUGAUGGCUCCCCAGAUGUCUGCAAAUGAAAACAAAGUCAGUGAGCUGUGCCAUUAAGAACAUUCUUUUACCCCUGGG